UCCAGAACUUGAGAUAUGGGUUGAAUACUGAACAAUAUCUGAGCUACAGAACAGAUUCAAACUUCUCUUUUAUUGUUAAGAUUUGAACUUGAAAACGACAGCUUUGAAUCUUGGACUCUGCAUAAAUGUUUUAUGUUUAUGUCUCAGCUUUCCAUC
rfam:Populus trichocarpa scaffold_8_contig_110, whole genome shotgun sequence.